AAUGAACGCUGGCGGCAGGCCUAACACAUGCAAGUCGAACGGAUCCUUCGGGAUUAGUGGCGGACGGGUGCGUAACGCGUGGGAACAUACCCUUUGGUACGGAAUAGCCUCGGGAAACUGGUAGUAAUACCGUAUGUGGUCGAGAGACGAAAGAUUUAUCGCCAAAGGAUUGGCCCGCGUUGGAUUAGGUAGUUGGUGGGGUAAUGGCCGACCCACCCGACGAUCCAUAGCUGGUUUGAGAGGAUGAUCAGCCACACUGGGGCUUAUACACGGCCGAAAGUACUACGAGAUGCAGGAAUGGGUAAGCUUGGAAAAUGGAGUGAAAGAUGAUCUAGCUAUGCUGGGUGAUCGAUGAAGGCAUGAAGGUUGUAAGGUCUUUCAGGUGGGAAGAUAAGGGCUGUAACACCAGAAGAAGCCCCGGCUAACUUCGUGCCAGCCGCCGCCGUAACAC
rnacentral:rRNA from 1 species